UAUAAUAACAUUGUUAUUAUAUUAAACCAAAUCAAAAUGUUGUGAGGUGGUUACUAAUGGAUUAGUAACAAGUCAAAAUGUGAUGAAGUGGUUAUUAAUGGGAUUUGAUUUGAAGUGUGUUAGAUUUAUGGAUUAGUUUCAUUUGUGUGUUUGCUAAAAUUAGUGGAUUAGUAACAUAUUAGUCACUAAAAAUAGAGUGCUUUGUUUUCCAUUUCAAAUGUAAAGAAGAAUGAGUGUAUGUAAGAGUGUGUGUAUUAAGAAAUUUAAGCAUUAAGCUUUCUCC